CAUGUUUCUUUCUCACAUGCAGUCUACAGAGCUGAUGCAUAUUAGGAUGAGUGACACUGAUUUUUUAUUUUUAUUUUUAUUUUUUGAUUUUGGUGGCGUUGAUUGAAUCAAAUACAGCAGCCCUAACUAUUUCAUUCUGAGUGGGAGAAGGAAGAGAAUGGAUUGAAGAAAGAUGGCUUUUCAAUGAAUUUCCACUUUGGUGCUGGACGUCUUGGAGAGACCAAACAACUGACUUUUUCUGAUUCAAAUCCUUUCGGAUGGAAAAUCAGAAAAACGUUGGGAUACUCCAUUCCGAGCCAACCCCAUGGGUUGUCCUCACAUCCAAAAAUCCUUGACAACAUGUUUGUUAUUUGUGUAGUGAUUUGGCUGUAGCAUCACCUGUGGAGGAUUAUUUUAUAUACAUUGACGAUCUCCCAUAUCCUGAUAAGGAAGAAGCGGAAAAAGUUACAGAGCCCUUUCUAGAUCCUCUUGGUGAUGAUUAUUCAGUUUGUUGUCAAGGUAUGGAUUAUAACAUGUGCUCUUGUAUAGUACCCAAUGAAUCAUCUCCGUUCUCUGCGUUAGUGUGCGUUAAGUGGUUGGAUCCUCAAUGUGCAUCCUAACACAAGCAUUGUUUUGCCUAGGAUGAUAUGCAACAUUACAAUUACAAUGCAAGCCUAAACGAAGCUCUGCCUGAUAUGCAAUGCAAAGACAAGUUCCUCUUUCAGAGUGUCAUUGCAAGUCAUGGUGCAACCAUAUAAGGACCAUAUGUUUUCUCUAGCAGUGGAGCACAUCAUGGAGGAUUUUUUAUUUAUUUUUAUUGUAUUCAUGCAAUUGUAAACUUAUUGUUGUAAAUAUAUAUAAUUUUUAUUAUAAAGUUGUACCAUAUUUGUUCAAUAUUAAUUUUUAAUUGUAUAUAAUAUUCUUUGGUUUUUAAAUAUAAAAACAAAUGUACAACUUUUAUUGUCCAUUCGAAAUAAUGCAAAAUACCAUUCCAAAAGUUAAAAAUUUGA